UUACUGGGCGUAAGCGCACGCAGGCGGUCUGUCAAGUCGGAUGUGAAAUCCCCGGGCUCAACCUGGGAACUGCAUUCGAAACUGGCAGGCUAGAGUCUUGUAGAGGGGGGUAGAAUUCCAGGUGUAGCGGUGAAAUGCGUAGAGAUCUGGAGGAAUACCGGUGGCGAAGGCGGCCCCCUGGACAAAGACUGACGCUCAGGUGCGAAAGCGUGGGGAGCAAACAGGAUUAGAUACCCUGGUAGUCCACGCCGUAAACGAUGUCGAUUUGGAGGUUGAGCCCUUGAGGCGUGGCUUCCGGAGCUAACGCGUUAAAUCGACCGCCUGGGGAGUACGGCCGCAAGGUUAAAACUCAAAUGAAUUGACGGGGGCCCGCACAAGCGGUGGAGCAUGUGGUUUAAUUCGAUGCAACGCGAAGAACCUUACCUGGUCUUGACAUCCACAGAACUUUCCAGAGAUGGAUUGGUGCCUUCGGGAACUGUGAGACAGGUGCUGCAUGGCUGUCGUCAGCUCGUGUUGUGAAAUGUUGGGUUAAGUCCCGCAACGAGCGCAACCCUUAUCCUUUGUUGCCAGCGGUUAGGCCGGGAACUCACAGGAGACUGCCAGUGAUAAACUGGAGGAAAGUGGGGGAUGA
rnacentral:rRNA from 1 species